AUGUGGCGGGUCUGUGGGCACCAUGCUGAUGCGGAGAAGGAGGUGCAUGUAGCGGGGGCGCUUGAGGUGAGGUGGCUGCAGGGUCGCUCGAGAAGAACAGGCUCAUCAGCACCACCUGGAUGCCUUCGUCAUCAGCAAUGUGGACAAGGGCAUCUGUUCCUCCUCCCAUGGUCAGCACCACCACCUACUCUGAAUCUCCGAUCAGAAUAUUGCUCCUCCCUAGCUUUGGUUUGGUCUGAACUUCAAAGUUUUCAUCGACUCAAUGUUGAUUCAGUCAAAGAUCUCUUGGAAAAAUUAUUUGGACAAGAUUCACUCUAUAAUGUUGUUAUCAUUGUCCUCUGGAAUAUAUGGAAGCGCAAAAACUCCAAGGUCUCCCGGGAUGUUUUUGAGGAAUUGCACAUUACUGCUAGCAAGAUUGCUGAUGAUUGA
rnacentral:rRNA from 1 species